rnacentral:siRNA from 1 species
AGUGUGUUCGUUUAGUGGCCGCAU